rnacentral:rRNA from 1 species
AUGUGCCGGCACAAGAAUGCGGAUGGCAAGCUUGUGCACCAACAACACAGACAACUCACGUCCGAGUUCAUUGCUUACAGGCUGUCCAACCAAAUAUCCACACUUCCAAUAAUGAGCAUCAAGAGUGUCAUUGACCUUGUGAAAGCCAUCUUUCAUUACAAGGUGAAGUACGGCAAGGCAUGGAAGGCGAAGCAAGCCGCAUUCAAGAUGUUGUAUGGCAAUUGGGAGGAAGCAUACAACCGACUCCCUAGGUUGUUGUUAGCUAUGGCCGCCACAAACCCAGUCAUGGUUCACGUGGUUGAGCCUCAUGGGCACCAAACUUUGAUUCAUAAUGGGAGGACCGUCCGAGUAUUUGGCCGUGCAUUUUGGGCCUUUGAGCAAUGCGUGAGGGCUUUUGAGCAUUGUCGGCCCGUCAUCGCCAUUGAUGGCACGUUCUUGACCGGACAAUACAAGGGCACUUUAUUGGUUGCAAUAGCAAGUGAUGCCAAUAACCGGGUGUUGCCUUUGGCUUUCGCUUUGGUUGAGGUGGAGAACAAUGAUAACUGGGAGUGGUUCUUGCGUCAACUGAGAACAAGGGUAUUACCGGCUGAAAGGGAAAUUUGUGUCAUAUCGGAUCGCCAUGCUGGAAUUCUAAAUGCGGUGGUGAUUGACAUUCCCGGACAUAGAAAGUUGCAUCAUCGAUGGUGCAUGAGGCACUUUUGUGCAAACUUCUAUAGGGCAUGUGGUAUCAAGGAGUUGGCCGAUGAUCUUCAGGAUUGUUGUCUCGCUUUCACCAACAAGCGGUUUUCCACAUUGUUCAAUGCAUUGCUCAGACACAAGAAACUUGACCCCGGCGGUUAG